rnacentral:rRNA from 1 species
UACGGAGGGGGCUAGCGUUGUUCGGAAUUACUGGGCGUAAAGCGCGCGUAGGCGGACCUGCAAGUCGGGGGUGAAAGCCCGAGGCUCAACCUCGGAACUGCCUUCGAUACUGCGGGUCUUGAGUCCGGGAGAGGUGAGUGGAAUUCCUAGUGUAGAGGUGAAAUUCGUAGAUAUUAGGAAGAACACCAGUGGCGAAGGCGGCUCACUGGCCCGGUACUGACGCUGAGGUGCGAAAGCGUGGGGAGCAAACAGG